rnacentral:lncRNA from 1 species
GCAGGAUGAAGCCUCAUUCAGUUCGGUAAGCAAACCCUUUAACAUUGAACGUUUGAGUUCUUUUUUUUUCCCCACUUACAUUUCCUAUAAUAUCUGAUACCCAAGAUUCUAAAUGCUGUUAUAUGGAGAAAUAUUUUGUUCCCCCGCAGAGAACUUACGCCCUAAUCCUCUUUCUAAUGAACAACAAAAGUUUAAAUUUUUGUCCAUUUUUCCGUUCUUUACAGUCAAAAUACCAUUUUGUGUGAUGAAAUUUGUUAUUACCGAAGAAUUCAUUUUUAUGAGUUAACUGAAUAAGGGGUGAG